rnacentral:tRNA from 1 species
GCCCACAUAGCUCAGUCGGUAGAGCACUUCCUUGGUAAGGAAGAGGUCACCAGUUCAAGUCUGGUUGUGGGCUCCA